rnacentral:rRNA from 1 species
UUUAAAGUCUAAUCUGCCCUAUGAGGGGUUAAAUGGCCGCGGUAUUUUGACCGUGCAAAGGUAGCAUAAUAAUUAGUUUUUUAAUUGAAAGCUGGAAUGAACGAUUGGACGAGAAAAUUACUGUCUCAAUUUAAUUUAAUUAGAAUUUUAUUUUUAAGUAAGAAAGCUUAAAUUUUAUUAAAAGACGAGAAGACCCUAUAGAGUUUUAUAACAUUUUAUUUAUAAAUUUUUUAGAAUAUUUUUGUUUGUAUUUUAAUUGUUAUUUUAUUGGGGUGAUAGAAAAAUAUGAUUAACUUUUUUUUUAUUAUAAAUUCAUUAAUAUAUGUUUAAUUGAUCCAUUAUUUAUGAUUAUAAGAUUAAAUUACCUUAGGGAUAACAGCGUAAUUUUUUUUUAGAGUUCUUAUCGAAAAAAUAGAUUGCGACCUCGAUGUUGGAUUAAAAUAAAUUAUUGGUGUAGAAGCUAUAUAAUUAGGUCUGUUCGACCUUUAAAAUUUUACA